rnacentral:rRNA from 1 species
UACGAGGGGGGCGAGCGUUGUUCGGAAUUAUUGGGCGUAAAGGGUGCGUAGGCGGUUUGUUGCGUCGGCUGUGAAAUCCCGAGGCUCAACCUCGGGUCUGCAGUCGAUACGAGCAAACUAGAGUGUUGCAGGGGAGACUGGAAUUCCUGGUGUAGCGGUGAAAUGCGCAGAUAUCAGGAGGAACACCGGUGGCGAAGGCGGGUCUCUGGGCAACAACUGACGCUGAGGAGCGAAAGCGUGGGGAGCGAACAGG